CCAUGCCGCGUGAAGGAGACGGUCCUAUGGAUUGUAAACUUCUUUUGUUGCGAAGUAAGGACAGCCACGUGUGGUUGUUUGAGAGUAUGCAAGGAAUAAGUAUCGGCUAACUCCGUGCCAGCAGCCGCGGUAAU
rnacentral:rRNA from 1 species